rnacentral:snRNA from 1 species
GUGCUCGCUUUGGCAGCACAUAUACUAAAAUUGGAAUGAUACAGAGAAGAUUAGCUUGGCCCCUGCGCUACUUAACAUCUUAUAGGUGCAUUUCCUACUA